rnacentral:rRNA from 1 species
GGCGGACGGGUGCGUAACGCGUAGGAAUCUACCUCGUAGUGGGGGACAACCCGGCGAAAGCCGGGCUAAUACCGCAUACGAUCCAAGGAUGAAGGCCGGGGACCGCAAGGCCUGGCGCUAUGAGAUGAGCCUGCGUCGGAUUAGCUAGUUGGUGAGGUAAUGGCUCACCAAGGCAACGAUCCGUAGCUGGUCUGAGAGGACGACCAGCCACACUGGGACUGAGACACGGCCCAGACUCCUACGGGAGGCAGCAGUGGGGAAUAUUGGACAAUGGGGGCAACCCUGAUCCAGCAAUGCCGCGUGUGUGAAGAAGGCCUUCGGGUUGUAAAGCACUUUCGAUGGGGACAAACAAGUUCGACCUAAUACGUCGGACCCUGAUGGUACCCAGAGAAGAAGCACCGGCUAACUCUGUGCCAGCAGCCGCGGUAAUACAGAGGGUGCAAGCGUUAAUCGGAAUUACUGGGCGUAAAGGGUGCGUAGGUGGUUUGCUAAGUCAGGUGUGAAAGCCCGGGGCUCAACCUCGGA